GACGAACGCUGGCGGCGUGCCUAACACAUGCAAGUCGAACGGGGAUUUUGUUUCGGCAGAAUCCUAGUGGCGAACGGGUGAGUAACGCGUAGGCAACCUGCCCUCCGGCCGGGGACAACACUCCGAAAGGGGUGCUAAUACCGGAUACGAAGUCUGUGCCGCAUGGUACGGAUUUGAAAGAUGGCCUCUGUUUAUAAGCUAUCGCCGGGGGAUGGGCCUGCGUCCGAUUAGCUGGUUGGUGGGUAACGGCCUACCAAGGCGACGAUCGGUAGCCGGUCUGAGAGGAUGAACGGCCACAUUGGGACUGAGAUACGGCCCAG
rnacentral:rRNA from 1 species